rnacentral:rRNA from 1 species
CUGCUGCCUCCCGUAGGAGUCUGGUCCGUGUCUCAGUACCAGUGUGGGGGACCUUCCUCUCAGAACCCCUACGCAUCGUCGCCUCGGUGGGCCGUUACCCCGCCGACUAGCUAAUGCGCCGCAUGGCCAUCCGCAGCCGAUGAAUCUUUAACCGCCGAGGGAUGCCCCUCUGCGGUGUUACGCGGUAUUAGACGGAAUUUCUUCCGCUUAUCCCCCUGCUGCGGGCAGGUUCCAUACGUGUUACUCACCCGUGCGCCGGUCGG